UGAAAUGUUGGGUUAAGUCCCGCAACGAGCGCAACCCUUAUCCUUUGUUGCCAGCGGUCCGGCCGGGAACUCAAAGGAGACUGCCAGUGAUAAACUGGAGGAAGGUGGGGAUGACGUCAAGUCAUCAUGGCCCUUACGACCAGGGCUACACACGUGCUACAAUGGCGCAUACAAAGAGAAGCGACCUCGCGAGAGCAAGCGGACCUCAUAAAGUGCGUCGUAGUCCGGAUUGGAGUCUGCAACUCGACUCCAUGAAGUCGGAAUCGCUAGUAAUCGUGGAUCAGAAUGCCACGGUGAAUACGUUCCCGGGC
rnacentral:rRNA from 1 species